CCUACGGGAGGCAGCAGUGGGGGAUAUUGCACAAUGGGGGAAACCCUGAUGCAGCGACGCCGCGUGAGUGAAGAAGUAUUUCGGUAUGUAAAGCUCUAUCAGCAGGGAAGAAAAUGACAGUACCUGACCAAGAAGCCCCGGCUAACUACGUGCCAGCACCCGCGGUAAUACGCAGGGUGCCAGGGUUAUCCGGAUUUACUGGGUGUAAAGGGAGCGUAGGCGGUUAGGUAAGUCUGGAGUGAAAGCACGGGGCCCAACCCCGGGACUGAUUUGGAAACUGUGUAACUGGAGUACAGGAGGGGCAGGCGGAAUUCCUGGUGUAGCGGUGGAAUGCGUAGAUAUCAGGAGGAACACCGGCGGCGAAGGCGGUCUGCUGGACUGAAACUGACGUUGAGGCUCGAAAGCGUGGGGAGCAAACAGGAUUAGAUACCCCUGUAGUC
rnacentral:rRNA from 1 species